rnacentral:lncRNA from 1 species
GGCUGUAAUCCAAUACUAUGCUAUUUAUUUUGUUGCUCAAAUUGUCCUGCUUUUGGCCCUGGGGCCUCAUUCCGCUGGCUCCUGGGCCCUGCUGCCCUGUUGACACGGCUCUCGUUGUGGGUGUGUGGCUGUGUGGAGCAUAUUCCUGCUUUCUGGUUCCUCUUGUGUGUCUUCUGUUCCAGUCCCAGCCCAGGACGAGCCGUCCCUCCAGGGAGCCCUGGUUCUUUUCACUGGAGGAUGUUAGGAACCAAAAUGCCCAAAGCAGAGGAACCAGACAACAAUAGACUGGAAGCACUGAAAUCCUGAGCCAAGACUAUCCCUUUCCUCCUUGAAGUUGUUUAUCUCAGGUGUUUGUCACAGUGGCAAAAGGCCCAGUGGAGGGAGCCUGAACUGACCACGUGGAGAACUGGCGUCCCACAGCUGUCCAGAGCCAGGCAGUCCCACUGAUCUGCUGACUAAUCACAAAGGAGUGCACAGUCUAUAAGAGGAUGCCGCGGAAACGUGUGAAGCCAGCGCAUGGCGGCACCAUGAUCCCACGUGUGCUGUGAGCGUGACCUGGAGUAUGCACCCCAUGCUUACCAGGUUCAACUGAUGAACUAGAGUGGUACCGGGUGAACAAAGCGCAAACAUGUUUACGACCAAUAUUCCUGCAGGGGACCUGUUUCAACUGUACAUUGAUGGGAUUGGAUUGCACAAUGGUUAGCCUGGGAAUCAGAUAGUCCUGCCCUCCCUGAAGGAGGUGCCCUGGGCAGAUGGCCCCUCUGGAGUCUGCCCUCGAGGACAGCGCAUCCCUCCUCAGAGAAGCAACAAGUGACCUCAAUCGCUGCUUGAUGGCCUGCGGCUGCAGAGUCUUCGAGACUCACUGGUGCUCCAGAGUUCCUCUGCUCCUUGGGGAGCUUUUGCCUGGGUUUCAUCAUUGAAUGUGUUUUCCAUCUUGUCCUGUUACCCGGGCAGGAGACCUCAUGGCUGUUUGCCUGGAGGAGGCUUUCCGGCUGGCCCACAGUCCUGAUCUGAUCCACCAGGCAAGAGAUAGUAUUUUGAUAGCUUGCGCUUCCUGGUGCCUCACUGCCUCCUCCAUCUUCAUGCCCCUUGUUGAUCUGAACCACUGCCACGUUUUUCUCCAUGACUCCCACAGCAGAGCAAAUUCCAGGCAGGAGCACGGACACACAUUACCCUCUCCGGUUCUGCCAUGAUCCUGUGGUGCCCUGCACGAGCUCUGCAUGGACAGUGGGGUUGGAGCCACCUGGAUGCUGCUGAGAAAAGCCCAGAAUGCCUGGGCCGCCCUUCACUGUGCCCGGCAGGUCCAUGCUGCUCCUCUGCCUCCCCAGAACUCUACAGUUUGGUUCAGGGAGAGAGUCAACAGCCCACGGCCAUUCACCGUUCCUCAGGAGUCCAAAGUCACCCAGGCCCUCCCCAAGGAGGUGAGGAGCCUGAGACUCGGAGAAGUGGCCCGUUCACUCGCCAGUCCACUAAUGAGGGCUCUGUGGUAUCUGCUCUGCAUCUAACAGGCUGCUCAGAGCCGGGCUUCUCCACCCACUCUGUGCAGGAGCAACUUUCAGAAAUCGUCGCUGUGUGUCCUUGCAGGAGCCUCUUCCUCUUCUGGCUUCCACCUGCCCUUACCUCUCCUCUGCCCUUGACCUGGUAUUCUGACUCCACCAGCGAAGUUCCUGCC